UCACAACACUAGACUACUGCUGACCUUGCCAGACCCUUCUCCUUGAGAAGCAGAGAGCCCAUUUUAGAUGCUAGCCACUCUGUGCCUUUGGGUACUUUGGCCACUUCCAAAGACUGCAUAGUUGAGGCUGAUAGCUUCACACAUCUCUCUGGUUAAAAAGCAUUGAGGACAAGGUCUGGUGAUUCCUGGAAGUGGUCCUCAAAGGGCCCAACCCCCACCCCAGCACUGGAGAGCCAUGCAUCUCAAGCAUACCUUGCAUUUGCAAGGCCCUAUAUUCUCAUCACCACAGAAAACAAAAACUCACAGAAACACACAGGACAGCUAUUUAACUCUUGGAAGAGGUUAGAGGUCUUUACCUUGGGGCUGAGACAUUUUAAAGCCCUUUUGGGUAGAUCCUCAGGGGAUACGACAUAGAAAUUAAACUUGCUGGCUCAAUUUUAAAAUCCAAAAUCUCUCUCCUCUUAAAGCUGUUCAUUGAAAACGGUUUUUAGAUACCAUGUUGUUUGCUGACUGGCCUUCUCACCAUUCUUAGGCUGGAGAGUCUCAAGGCCAUGCCACUAAGACUUCGGAGCUAGUUUUGGGGUGCCAUCCACUUUCUGAUUAGAUCUGUUGACUUUGUCUUUAACUCUGCGGGUGGGUUUUCAGACUUGAAAAAUGUAAAUGACAAGUUAACUCCUUCCCUGCCAGCACAUUACAGGAGUCUUUUCUUAGGGGAUGCCAGCUUGGCUUGUACUCAUAAAAGUGGGCACUGUGUCUGACCUGGGUAGAAAGAGGAGAUUUGACACUUUUCAUUUCAGAGCUGACACAGGAACCUUUGGGAGCCAGUAUCUAUUUUGUUUCCGACUGCAAAGUUCCAGCCAAUGAUUUGGAGGGGGGCCUGCACCUUCUGCUGGGAGCUAGUCUGGGAGGGAACAACUCAUUCCUGAGUUCUCUUUCGCAAACAUAUCUCUUGUUUAUUAAAAUAAUAGUAAUAAAAAUAAGAAU
ensembl:processed_transcript POU domain, class 3, transcription factor 3 adjacent noncoding transcript 2